UACGUAGGGGGCUAGCGUUGUCCGGAAUCAUUGGGCGUAAAGCGCGCGUAGGCGGCCAGAUAAGUCCGGUGUGAAAGUCAAAGGCUCAACCUUUGAAUGCCGCUGGAAACUGUCUGGCUUGAGUCCGGAAGGGGCGAGUGGAAUUCCUGGUGUAGCGGUGAAAUGCGUAGAUAUCUGGAGGAACACCGGUGGCGAAGGCGGCAUCCUGGACCGAGAUUGACGCUGAGGCGCGAAAGCUAGGGGAGCAAACGGG
rnacentral:rRNA from 1 species